GUCACUCCAGCUAGUGUCCUCCUGGUCAUACUCUCUCAUUGAACAGAUGGCUGACCAUUCCAAGGCCGAGCAAUUUCGAUACGGCCACGUGGUCGUCAAGGACACCAACGACAUGGGCAACAUCAUUUUCAUUGGCAAGGUAACUGGGGGACAAAGUUGUAGGCCUACAGUGCAUGUGGGGAAUGUUGGGUAAUGUAGUUGCAGGCAGAGAUGUUUGAGAUGAAAUACUUCCAUUACAGGGCCAAUGUGACGUGUUGAGAGUGGUGGACCUUACCUCCUGCAGUACCUACCAACGCCUCCUAAAACAGUAUGCAGACUCAGUAAGCAGAGGUACAUGUUUGCCAACACAUGGAUUCAAAGGCGAGCUGACAAACCAACCAGGAAGUGUCAUAAAACACAAAGUCCUCCUCAAUAAUCCUCCACGUCCUCCCAGAGGACUUCCUGCAGACCUGCCCACCAGCGCCUGUUUCCUGAUCGACACCCUUCAUCAGAGCGGCACAUUUGUACGUAGCCCUAAGGUCCAGACGUUACCCACAUCAACAUAGGAAGAAACCUGUAUGGUACUUGUGCCUUGUGUUCAGCAUGGAUGACCAUGUAAUAACAUGAUAAUAUGACAUCCAUGGCAUGCUGUGUUCUGGGCAUAGAGUUGUAAUCACUUCCUUAAACUCUUCCUCUAGUGUUUUCUAACUCUACGGUUCCGUGUAUCUGCUGUGUGGUGUGGUUCAGGGUCUGAACCAGUACCUGAUGCCGUCGAAGCAGAGAGACUGUCGCAGGUUCACUCUGGUCAGCCGGAGCGUGGAGAUCCUGCGGGUGGAGAAGACUCGCUUUGACAAGCUGGUGGACAACACCACCAUGAAGAAGCUGGAGGCCCUGCAGAAAACCUACCCAAGCGACGACGAGCUGUGCACUGUGUUCCUGGAACACAGCCGCUGGAAGGACUACAAACACAGUGUGAUACAGGACCUGUUCCCCGACCGGGUCGCCCCAAUCAGAAGCCCCAAAACCCAGAAGCAGCAGGUCCACUGUGGCCCCAGCCAGGCCCUUCAGCAGACCAGACACGUGGUCAACAGGCUGAAACAGACAAAGCAGAGGGUAGAGACAAACAAAAAAUAAUGAAAUAAAGGAAUAACUGUGUAGAUGAAUGAAUACAUAGACAUGGUUUUUGCUGCAUUUGUCAUUAUUUUCAUCCUUAUUCCUACCUUGCAACUAAAAACUAUUUCACGGCAUUUAGGUUAAAAUCAGGCAGAAAUCAAAUUAUCUGCACACCUUUUCUCAAGAAGAAUGGUUUUGAAGUAUAAUUUCUCAUGAGCGGGUCAUGAGAAAACAUACUUUAAACCCUUCUGCCCCUGCCUUUUGCUCUCUGUGAGUAGAAAGCUGAAGGAACUCGGUUGUCACUAGUUAACACAGCCACGGAGUGGAAAUUGGCUGUAUUGUAAAAAAAUAACAAAAAAUAAAGAAAACAAAAAUGUGUUUUAUUAUCUUAAUGUAAGGUUAGGUUUAGACAUAAGGUUAGCAGUGUGCUUAGGGUUAGGUGUAAAAACAGAUCUUAAGAAGAGAAAUUGUAGAAAUAGACAGAGGGUUUAGACAUACUUAUGGCUAUGUUCCUCUGCCCAGUUGUUGAUGAUGCAUGCUAGAUCUUACAAAGCCUGGAUAUUUUCUAAGUAUCAGCUUGCCACAUCAUGGACACAAUCCACUGCUCAGAUGUUGCAUAUAUCAACCAAUGGUUCCGUGCGACGUCGUCGACAGUGUCAUCCCCUGACAGAUUCCGAUAACAUAUGAUGUUACGACUGAGGAACU
ensembl:lncRNA